rnacentral:rRNA from 1 species
GAUCAUGGCUCAGGAUGAACGCUGACAGAGUGCUUAACACAUGCAAGUCGAUGGGGAAGUGGUGCUUGCACCAUGGUAACCAUGGCGGACGGGUGAGUAACGCGUAAGGAACUUGCCUGCGGGACCGGGAUAACAGCAGGAAACUGCUGACAAGACCGGAUAAGGUCAUUAAGCUGCAUAGCUUAGUGAUGAAAGGAGACGCCUGCGGAGAGCCUUGCGUCCUAUUAG